rnacentral:rRNA from 1 species
GAAACACGGACCAAGGAGUCUAACACCUAUGCAAGUCAUUGAGAUUCCUGUAUCUCAAAGGCGAAAUGAAAUGUGAAGGCCGGCUACGCCGUGCAAAGACGUGAUCCCGGGUACUUUGUUGCCCGGGCGCAACGUCGGCCCGUCCAAAUCUUUUAAGAUAGGGCGGAGCUAGAGCAUAGGUGUAGGCACUCGAAAGGUGGUGAUCUAUGCUUGAGCAAGACGAAGCCAGAGGAAACUCUGGUGGAGGUCUGAAACGUUUCUGACGUGCAAUCGAUCGUCUGACUCAAGUAUAGCGGCGAAAGACUUAUCGAACCAUCUAGUAGCUGU